rnacentral:lncRNA from 1 species
GGCAGCAUUGAGACAUCGACGACGGAGCGGGAGGCCCUGGGGCCCAGCCUGGAUGCAGAGCUUCGGUACCCGUGCACUCUGUGGGCGCCGACCUUUCAAGCAUUUCUCGGGGGAGCCCUUCCUGCCGUGUGGUUGUUGCCCCGAAAAGGAGCAGGAACCCAGCAUUCUGUGACGCUGACCAGACUUAUCAGCUUAAACCACGUGGAUUUAAACCUCUGGCUGCCACAGGAGAAGCAAAGAGGUCUGCCCUGGGACUUGACAUGCCUUUACCAUCAACUUGAAUUUAGUCCUGCUAAUGGGCAGCUUCCCUGGUGGCUCAGAAGGUAAAGAAUUUGACCACAAUGUGGGAGAUCUGGCUUUGAUUUCUGGGUCAAGAAGAUCCCCUGGAGAAGAGGAUGGCAACCUACUCCAAUAUUCUUACUUGGAGAAUUCCAUGGACA